rnacentral:rRNA from 1 species
UGGGGAAUUUUGGACAAUGGGGGAAACCCUGAUCCAGCCAUCCCGCGUGUACGAUGAAGGCCUUCGGGUUGUAAAGCACUUUUGGCAGGAAAGAAACGUCAUGGGUUAAUACCCCGUGAAACUGACGGUACCUGCAGAAUAAGCACCGGCUAACUACGUGCCAGCAGCCGCGGUAAUACGUAGGGUGCAAGCGUUAAUCGGAAUUACUGGGCGUAAAGCGUGCGCAGGCGGUUCGGAAAGAAAGAUGUGAAAUCCCAGAGCUCAACUUUGGAACUACAUUUUUAACUACCGGGCUAGAGUGUGUCAGAGGGAGGUGGAAUUCCGCGUGUAGCAGUGAAAUGCGUAGGUAUGCGGAGGAACACCGAUGGCGAAGGCAGCCUCCUGGGAUAACACUGACGCUCAUGCACGAAAGCGUGGGGAGCAAACAGG